rnacentral:rRNA from 1 species
AUCAACUUUCGAUGGUAGGAUAGAGGCCUACCAUGGUGGUAACGGGUAACGGGGUGUUAGGGCACGACACCGGAGAGGGAGCCUGAGAAACGGCUACCACAUCCAAGGAUGGCAGCAGGCGCGCAAAUUACCCAAUCCCGACACGGGGAGGUAGUGACAAUAAAUAACAAUACGGGGUUCUUUCGGAUCUCGUAAUUGGAAUGAGAACAAUUUAAAUCUCUUAACGAGGAACAAUUGGAGGGCAAGUCUGGUGCCAGCAGCCGCGGUAAUUCCAGCUACAAUAGCGUAUAUUAAAGUUGUUGCAGUUAAAAAGCUCGUAGUUGAAUUUCGGGAUCAAUUUAUUGGUCGUGCUAUUGUACGUACUGGUAUUAUUGAUUCCCUACCUUCUGACGAACCAUGAUGUCAUUAAUUUGGUGUCUUGGGGAAUCAGGACUGUUACUUUGAAAAAAUUAGAGUGUUUAAAGCAGGCAUUCGCUUGAAUACAUUAGCAUGGAAUAAUAGAAUAGGACUUUGGUUCUAUUUUGUUGGUUUCUAGGACCGAAGUAAUGAUUAAUAGGGAUAGUUGGGGGCAUUAGUAUCUAAUUGUCAGAGGUGAAAUUCUUGGAUUUAUGAAGGACUAACUUCUGCGAAAGCAUUUGCCAAGGAUGUUUUCAUUAAUCAAGAACGAAAGUUAGGGGAUCGAAGACGAUCAGAUACCGUCGUAGUCUUAACCAUAAACUAUGCCGACUAGGGAUCAGACAAGGAUAUUUUGACUUGUUUGGCACCUUAUGGGAAACCAAAGUGUUUGGGUUC